CAAUAGCGUAUAUUAAAGUUGUUGCAGUUAAAAAGCUCGUAGUUGGAUUUCUGGUUGGAGCGACCGGUCGGGCAUUGAUUUGUCUGCACUGGAGUCGGUUCUGGCCAUCCUCAUGGAAAGUGCGUAUGGCAUUAAGUUGUCGUGCGUAUGAUCCAUGUCAUUUACUGUGAAAAAAUUAGAGUGUUUAAAGCAGGCCUUCGCCUUGAAUACAUUAGCAUGGAAUAAUAAGAUAGGACUUUGGUCUAUUUUGUUGGUUUGCAGACCUAAGUAAUGAUUAAUAGGGAUAGUUGGGGGUAUUUAUAUUCCGAUGUCAGAGGUGAAAUUCUUAGAUUUUCGGAAGAUAAACUUAUGCGAAAGCAUUUACCAAGGAUGUUUUCAUUAA
rnacentral:rRNA from 1 species